rnacentral:rRNA from 1 species
UGGCGGACGGGUGAGUAACGUGUAAAGAACUUGCCCUUUAGACUGGGAUAACAGAGGGAAACUUCUGAUAAUACUGGAUAAGUUAGUAUAUCGCAUGAUAUGCAAAUGAAAGCUACGGCACUAAAGGAGAGCUUUGCGUCCUAUUAGCUAGUUGGUAAGGUAAGAGCUUACCAAGGCGAUGAUAGGUAGCCGGCCUGAGAGGGUGGACGGCCACAAGGGGACUGAGAUACGGCCCUUACUCCUACGGGAGGCAGCAGUC